AAAGUAACAGAGACUCGCUCUAACAAGAAACACAAUCCUCAGAUGUUCUCCCUAUCUCUUAUCCGCCGCUCUCUCUCUCUCACGAUGCUCUCUACCUCUCACGAUGCUCUCCACCUCUCACGAUGCUAUCUCUCAAACACUCUCACUCAAACUCUCAAACUCGUCUAACUCUCAAUCUCAAUCGCUCUCAAUCUCCGCAAGAAAUCGUGGCUGAAAAGAAAGAGGAGCUCACCUCCGGUGAUGGUGAUGGAAACGAUGGGGUUCGAACCUCCCUCCUUCUCCUCUUCACAAGAUUAAGGUUUCAGAUUGAUGCUCAAAGGUUCCAAAGGAGAAAGUUUCCAGAAUCGCUUUUUGAUGCUCAGAAUUGAUUGCUCUCUUUGAUGCCUGGAAUUGGAACGGGUCUUGGAUGUGUUUGUGGUUUGCAGGUUUUUGUUGCAACUCAUGGUGGUAAUGAUCUGCUGUCAUGAUUGUUGAAAGGAAUAUUGGGAGCUACUUCUGACUUGCCGGUUAUUGGAGGAGCAAACAUGAUUCGAAGAUUUAAAAUCAGCACCACAGAGAUUAUCAUGUAAGCGGGGUAACAGCUGGCAUCCUGAAUCGUGAAUCAAUUCAAAUGACCCUGUAGGAAAUGGUAGUUGUUUUGUGGACAUGGCGGAAAUCAUUGCACCCAUCCGACAAGGAGAUAAGUGCUUGGAAACGAUUUCUUGGCUUUUAGAAAACCGAAAUUUUGUUGCUCUUUCUUUAAUGUGAAACCUUGUAUUUCCUGAGUUUGGAGAUUGAUCAUGUUGUGAAAAUUUGGUUGAUGCAGGAAUGGCUUUGGCUUGGAUUCGUGCUCAGGAGGUUUAUUCUUGCAGACAGGCUUUUCUCCAACUUGUCGGCAGCCAUCAACACUUCUAUAGCAUCAGGUGUCAACUCGGUGAUACCUUUAACAUAUUUCUUCAACUCAUUUCCAUAACACACAUGAAGGGUAGCAACCGCAACACCAGCAGCAAGAGGAUGCUAUCUCUUCAAUUUAGGACCAAAUAUGUCUUUCUCCUCAAAAGCCAGUUCAGUAAUGUCUCGUGCGAGGACAGAAAGAAUUGGAAAAGGCUAUAUCGACAUGGUUCUUCUUCUGAUUAUACUCAUUUGAGAUAUCUUCUGCCAGUAUCUUUGCUGAUGGGAGAUAUACUGCAGGAAGUUCAAAAGCAAAUGGAGACAAAAUAAUCAUCAAACGAGCAAAAAGAGCAUCGGCGGUCACUAAGCGUGUUCCAUUUGCAGCAGGCAGAAAGGCCACCCUCCGUAGCUCUGCAACAUCUCCAUUUUUUCCAAUCAUUUGCAAGUGCUUCAAAACUGUGGAAAAAGCUGGAG